rnacentral:lncRNA from 1 species
CAUAGAAGUAUUAAUUUAUGGAUCAAAUUAUCUUUAUUCUUUUAAAAUUGAUACUUCUUUAUAUAUUUUACAAAAAAGAGCUGCACCAACAUGAAGAGCCUGAUCUGCAGGCUUAGAGGGAUCAAACGAGACUAAAAAUGGAGUUAAAAUAGAUUUAAAUUCAAAGCCAAAAGAUAAUCAAAUCCAAUACCCAAGUUGGUGGUCCACCAUGGACCACUUGGUCCAUAAGAAAGUUGAUGAGCUGUGAAAUGCUACAGUAAUUUUUACAUGGCUCACAGAGGGUUCUGGCAGGAUGUAUGGGAUUCAAAUCAAAGAUAGGAUACCUGAGGGGUUUGUGAAACAAACAAAGCUUGGAUUCAAAUGGGCUUAAGAG